CUUAAAUGAACAUGUGAAUAUAACACAUUUCCAUGACUUUUCCAAAACUUUUGUGAUUUAAGUAUUUUCCAUGACUUUUCCAGGCCUGGAAAUUACCAUUGUAAAAUUCCAUGACUUUUCCAGGUUUUCCAUGACCGUACAAACCCUGCUAAUUAAUUAUUCAUAUUUAUAACAAUUAAAUAACAGUAAUAAUAAUAACUCAAUCAUUAAUAACACUCAAAAGAACAACACACUGUAACAUACCUGCAUUCAUACAAAAAGGGACAGAAUACGUCAUCAACUUCUGUGGGCAACGGCGCGUGCUCCGUUCUAGAAAGACCGAGGCUGUGUCUACUACCGCGCACUUGAGCACUUCGAGCACUGACUUUCAGUGUUCGAAGUGCGCCACUGAAAAAACCAGCAGAAUUCAGUGCACCGAAAGUACCCGGAUGGUGCACUGCAAACGGGCAAAAAAUGUAGUGGAAAACGAUGGACACUACUCGCCCUAAGCGGCCGCCAUCUUGGCGACGUAGCGGAAGAGGAGGAGCCAUUUCGCCAGCUUUUCAUUUUAUUUCUAAAACAAUGGCGGACAGCACAAGCGGUAGACCACGAAGCUACAGACCGUAAAUAGACGUUUCCUGGAGGUGCUGGUGCUGGUCCUCUGCUGCCCUCCCGACAUCUGGCUCCAAUGACCUCUGGCACCUCACAUCCACCUCCAGGGCCUUUAAGAAGAUGGACCGCCAUCGCGUCUUCAGUAUCCCGAAGGACCUCUCCACAACACACCGCCUUUGACAGGCAGUAGUUGUAGCUUGAGGUGGACAGGCUGCCUGAAGGGGUCAUGAGGCAGAUGGGUUGGGACAGGCAGGGUAGCCACCAUCCCCAAGGAUACAGUAUCCUGGUGGAGGGGAUGACUGCUCAUAGAAGAUGGGGCUGUUAUUCAGGACCCUGGCAUCAUGCACUGAGCCCGGGCCUGUCGAGGCCCUGGCCACCACCCGAUAGGAGGUGGCGCUGGCAAGCCAACAAAUAAAAACUAGACAGGAGAUCUCGGGGCCCCAACCGUGGUCAGUCAGUGCCCAGCACAGCCAUGAGGGCGUUGAAUGACUCUCGGGUGAGCCUGAAGUCCACCCUCAUGUCACUGUGGCCAUCAAAAUACAAUGCAAGCAGUGGCAUUGCAACAUUGAUACAGCAGCGCCGCCUGGGACUGGGUGGCUGCUGUAGAGUGUGUGGGGAGGGGAAGGGAAGAUUAUAUUAAUAUGUAAGUCAUUUUAUCAAUAAAAUGUUGUCAUUGA